rnacentral:rRNA from 1 species
UUAAAUCAGGUAUCGUUUAUUUGAUAGAACCUUACUACAUGGAUACCUGUGGUAAUUCUAGAGCUAAUACAUGCUGAAAACCUCGACUUCGGAAGGGGUGUAUUUAUUAGAUAAAAAACCAAUGCCCUUCGGGGCUCCUUGGUGAAUAAUAAUAACUUAACGAAUCGCAUGGCCUUGCGCCGGCGAUGGUUCAUUCAAAUUUCUGCCCUAUCAACUUUCGAUGGUAGGAUAGUGGCCUACCAUGGUGGCAACGGGUAACGGGGAAUUAGGGUUCGAUUCCGGAGAGGGAGCCUGAGAAACGGCUACCACAUCCAAGGAAGGCAGCAGGCGCGCAAAUUACCCAAUCCCGACACGGGGAGGUAGUGACAAUAAAUACUGAUACGGGGCUCUUUUGGGUCUCGUAAUUGGAAUGAGUACAAUCUAAAUCCCUUAACGAGGAACAAUUGGAGGGCAAGUCUGGUGCCAGCAGCCGCGGUAAUUCCAGCUCCAAUAGCGUAUAUUAAAGUUGUUGCAGUUAAAAAGCUCGUAGUUGAACCUUGGGUCUGGCUGGCCGGUCCGCCUCACCGCGAGUACUGGUCCGGCUGGACCUUUCCUUCUGGGGAAUCUCAUGGCCUUCACUGGCUGUGGGGGGAACCAGGACUUUUACUGUGAAAAAAUUAGAGUGUUCAAAGCAUGCCUUUGCUCGAAUACAUUAGCAUGGAAUAAUAGAAUAGGACGUGCGGUUCUAUUUUGUUGGUUUCU